GAUGAACGCUGGCUACAGGCUUAACACAUGCAAGUCGAGGGGAAACGACGGGGAAGCUUGCUUCCCCGGGCGUCGACCGGCGCACGGGUGAGUAACGCGUAUCCAACCUGCCUCUGACUGAGGGAUAACCCGUCGAAAGUCGGCCUAAUACCUCAUGGCAUCGUCUGCGGGCAUCCAACGACGAUUAAAGAUUUCAUCGGUCAGAGAUGGGGAUGCGUCUGAUUAGCUUGUUGGCGGGGUAACGGCCCACCAAGGCGACGAUCAGUAGGGGUUCUGAGAGGAAGGUCCCCCAGAAUGGAACUGAGACACGGUCCAAACUCCGACGGGAGGCAGCAGUAAGGAAUAUUGGUCAAUGGGCGAGAGCCUGAACCAGCCAAGUAGCGUGCAGGAUGACGGCCCUAUGGGUUGUAAACUGCUUUUAUGCGGGGAUAAAGUGAGGGACGUGUCCUUCAUUGCAGGUACCGCAUGAAUAAGGACCGGCUAAUUCCGUG
rnacentral:rRNA from 1 species